UACGUAGGGGGCAAGCGUUGUCCGGAAUCAUUGGGCGUAAGAGCGUGUAGGCGGCCCGGUAAGUCCGCUGUGAAAGUCCAGGCUCAACCCUGGGAUGCCGGUGGAUACUGUCGGGCUCGAGUCCGGAAGAGGAGUGUGGAAUUCCUGGUGUAGCGGUGAAAUGCGCAGAUAUCAGGAAGAACACCGAUGGCGAAGGCAGCUCUCUGGGACGGUACUGACGCUGAGACGCGAAAGCGUGGGGAGCGAACAGG
rnacentral:rRNA from 1 species